CACGUAGGGCGCGAGCGUUGUCCGGAAUUAUUGGGCGUAAAGAGCUCGUAGGCGGCCUGUUGCGUCCGCUGUGAAAGCCCGGGGCUUAACCCCGGGUCGGCAGUGGAUACGGGCAGGCUAGAGGUAGGUAGGGGAGAAUGGAAUUCCCGGUGUAGCGGUGAAAUGCGCAGAUAUCGGGAGGAACACCGGUGGCGAAGGCGGUUCUCUGGGCCUGUUCUGACGCUGAGGAGCGAAAGCGUGAGGAGCGAACAGG
rnacentral:rRNA from 1 species